rnacentral:rRNA from 1 species
UAGGGAAUCUUCCACAAUGGCGCAAGCCUGAUGGAGCAACACCGCGUGAGUGAAGAAGGGUUUCGGCUCGUAAAGCUCUGUUGUUAAAGAAGAACACGUAUGAGAGUAACUGUUCAUACGUUGACGGUAUUUAACCAGAAAGUCACGGCUAACUACGUGCCAGCAGCCGCGGUAAUACGUAGGUGGCAAGCGUUAUCCGGAUUUAUUGGGCGUAAAGAGAGUGCAGGCGGUUUUCUAAGUCUGAUGUGAAAGCCUUCGGCUUAACCGGAGAAGUGCAUCGGAAACUGGAUAACUUGAGUGCAGAAGAGGGUAGUGGAACUCCAUGUGUAGCGGUGGAAUGCGUAGAUAUAUGGAAGAACACCAGUGGCGAAGGCGGCUACCUGGUCUGCAACUGACGCUGAGACUCGAAAGCAUGGGUAGCGAACAGGAUUAGAUACCCUGGUAGUCCAUGCCGUAAACGAUGAGCGCUAGGUGUUGGGGACUUUCCGGUCCUCAGUGCCGCAGCAAACGCAUUAAGCGCUCCGCC